rnacentral:rRNA from 1 species
GAUGAACGCUAGCGGCAGGCUUAAUACAUGCAAGUCGAGGGGCAGCAGUUUUGUAGCAAUACAGAAGCUGGCGACCGGCAAACGGGUGCGGAACACGUACGCAACCUUCCUUUAACUGGAAGAUAGCCCACCGAAAGGUGGAUUAAUACUCCAUAAUAUAUUGAAGAGGCAUCUUUUUGAUAUUAAAGCUCCGGCGGUUAAAGAUGGGCGUGCGUCUGAUUAGGUAGUUGGCGGGGUAACGGCCCACCAAGCCUUCGAUCAGUAGCUGAUGUGAGAGCAUGAUCAGCCACACGGGCACUGAGACACGGGCCCGACUCCUAUGGGAGGCAGCAGUAAGGAAUAUUGGUCAAUGGACGCAAGUCUGAACUAGCCAUGCCGCGUGGAGGAUGAAGGCCCUCUGGGUUGUAAACUUCUUUUCUUUGGGACGAAACCCCUGUUUCUACGGGGACUGACGGUACCAGAGGAAUAAGCACCGGCUAACUCCGUGCCAGCCGCCGCCGUAACAC